rnacentral:rRNA from 1 species
AUUGAACGCUGGCGGCAGGCUUAACACAUGCAAGUCGAGCGAGCGGCGGACGGGUGAGUAAUGUCUGGGAAACUGCCUGAUGGAGGGGGAUAACUACUGGAAACGGUAGCUAAUACCGCAUACCAUCAGAUGUGCCCAGAUGGGAUUAGGUAGUUGGUGGGGUAAAGGCUAACCUAGGCGACGAUCUCUAGCUGGUCUGAGAGGAUGAUCAGCCACACUGGGACUGAGACACGGUCCAUACUCCUACGGGAGGCAGCAGUGGGGAAUAUUGCACAAUGGGCGCAAGCCUGAUGCAGCCAUGCCGCGUGAAUGAAGAAGGCCUUAGGGUUGUAAAGUACUUUCAGCGGGGAGGCGUUACCCGCAGAAGAAGCCCCGGCUAACUCCGUGCCAGCAGCCGCGGUAAUUC